AUCCAGCUGACGAGUCCAAAAUAGGACGAAAUGCGAGUACUGGAU
rnacentral:hammerhead_ribozyme from 1 species